rnacentral:rRNA from 1 species
AAAUUGAAGAGUUUGAUCAUGGCUCAGAUUGAACGCUGGCGGCAGGCCUAACACAUGCAAGUCGAACGGUAACAGGAAGCAGCUUGCUGCUUCGCUGACGAGUGGCGGACGGGUGAGUAAUGUCUGGGAAACUGCCUGAUGGAGGGGGAUAACUACUGGAAACGGUGGCUAAUACCGCAUAACGUCGCAAGACCAAAGAGGGGGACCUUCGGGCCUCUUGCCAUCAGAUGUGCCCAGAUGGGAUUAGCUUGUUGGUGAGGUAACGGCUCACCAAGGCGACGAUCCCUAGCUGGUCUGAGAGGAUGACCAGCCACACUGGAACUGAGACACGGUCCAGACUCCUACGGGAGGCAGCAGUGGGGAAUAUUGCACAAUGGGCGCAAGCCUGAUGCAGCCAUGCCGCGUGUAUGAAGAAGGCCUUCGGGUUGUAAAGUACUUUCAGCGGGGAGGAAGGUGUUGUGGUUAAUAACCGCAGCAAUUGACGUUACCCGCAGAAGAAGCACCGGCUAACUCCGUGCCAGCAGCCGCGGUAAUACGGAGGGUGCAAGCGUUAAUCGGAAUUACUGGGCGUAAAGCGCACGCAGGCGGUCUGUCAAGUCGGAUGUGAAAAACCCCGGGCUCAACCUGGGAACUGCAUUCGAAACUGGCAGGCUUGAGUCUUGUAGAGGGGGGUAGAAUUCCAGGUGUAGCGGUGAAAUGCGUAGAGAUCUGGAGGAAUACCGGUGGCGAAGGCGGCCCCCUGGACAAAGACUGACGCUCAGGUGCGAAAGCGUGGGGAGCAAACAGGAUUAGAUACCCUGGUAGUCCACGCCGUAAACGAUGUCUACUUGGAGGUUGUGCCCUUGAGGCGUGGCUUCCGGAGCUAACGCGUUAAGUAGACCGCCUGGGGAGUACGGCCGCAAGGUUAAAACUCAAAUGAAUUGACGGGGGCCCGCACAAGCGGUGGAGCAUGUGGUUUAAUUCGAUGCAACGCGAAGAACCUUACCUGGUCUUGACAUCCACAGAACUUUCCAGAGAUGGAUUGGUGCCUUCGGGAACUGUGAGACAGGUGCUGCAUGGCUGUCGUCAGCUCGUGUUGUGAAAUGUUGGGUUAAGUCCCGCAACGAGCGCAACCCUUAUCCUUUGUUGCCAGCGGUCCGGCCGGGAACUCAAAGGAGACUGCCAGUGAUAAACUGGAGGAAGGUGGGGAUGACGUCAAGUCAUCAUGGCCCUUACGACCAGGGCUACACACGUGCUACAAUGGCGCAUACAAAGAGAAGCGACCUCGCGAGAGCAAGCGGACCUCAUAAAGUGCGUCGUAGUCCGGAUUGGAGUCUGCAACUCGACUCCAUGAAGUCGGAAUCGCUAGUAAUCGUGGAUCAGAAUGCCACGGUGAAUACGUUCCCGGGCCUUGUACACACCGCCCGUCACACCAUGGGAGUGGGUUGCAAAAGAAGUAGGUAGCUUAACCUUCGGGAGGGCGCUUACCACUUUGUGAUUCAUGACUGGGGUGAAGUCGUAACAAGGUAACCGUAGGGGAACCUGCGGUUGGAUCACCUCCUUA